UAAAAGCAAAAUAAAUUCAUACAUACUGUAAUACAGAUAAUCAAGGUAUGUAAUUUAAUUUACAAUGACACGUGGGCCCCCCAAAUGACAAAAGUGAACGAAGGUUGUGAACCUACGAUUUUUGAGGAAGUAAAGCCAAUUGUAGCCUUCGACGAUAUCAGCUAUCUACAAACUAUCCUGAGCUUGAAAUGGGUGGAAAGGAGGGUGGUGAAAUUAUAUAAUCAUAGUGAGUAAACAAACAUCAUCCAAAAUAUCUAAAGUCGAGUAAAUGGAGACGAUUAAAAUAUUCCAUCUCAAUAUGUAUUUCAUAACAUAAAUAUUCAUUUCAUUUAAAUAAUCAAC
rnacentral:lncRNA from 1 species